AACGCGAAGACACUUACCUACCCUUGACAUGGUCGGAAUCCUGGAGAGAUCUGGGAGUGCUCGAAAGAGAACCGAUACACAGGUGCUGCAUGCCUGUCGUCAGCUCGUGUCGUGAGAUGUUGGGUUAAGUCCCGCAACGAGCGCAACCCUUGUCUUUAGUUGCUACGCAAGAGCACUAUAGGGAGACUUCCGGUGACAAACCGGAGGAAGGUGGGGAUGACGUCAAGUCCUCAUGGCCCUUAUGGGUAGGGCUUCACACGUCAUACAAUGGUCGGAACAGAGGGUCGCCAACCCGCGAGGGGGAGCUAAUCCCAGAAAACCGAUGGUAGUCCGGAAUGCACUCUGCAACUCGAGUGCAUGAAGCUGGAAUCCAUAGUAAUCGCGGAUCAGCAUGCCGCGGGAAUACGAUC
rnacentral:rRNA from 1 species